GCAUCUGGGAUAGCUCAGCUGGUAGAGCAUGAGACUUAAUCUCAGGGUUCGAGCCCCACGUUGGGCA